AGAGUUUGAUCCUGGCUCAGGAUGAACGCUAGCUACAGGCUUAACACAUGCAAGUCGUGGGGCAGCAUGGGAGAUGCUUGCAUUUCCCGAUGGCGACCGGCGCACGGGUGAGUAACGCGUAUCCAACCUGCCCUUCACUCCGGCACAGCCCGUCGAAAGACGGAUUAAUGCGGGAUGCAGUCAGAAAGAUGCAUAUUAAUUUGACGAAAGGCUUUAUGCCGGUGAGGGAUGGGGAUGCGUCCGAUUAGCUUGACGGCGGGGUAACGGCCCACCGUGGCGACGAUCGGUAGGGGUUCUGAGAGGAAGGUCCCCCACAUUGGAACUGAGACACGGUCCAAACUCCUACGGGAGGCAGCAGUGAGGAAUAUUGGUCAAUGGGCGAGAGCCUGAACCAGCCAAGUAGCGUGCAGGAAGACGGCCCUAUGGGUUGUAAACUGCUUUAGUAUGGGAAUAAAGUCAUCCACGCGUGGAUGUUUGCAUGUACCAUAAGAAUAAGGACCGGCUAAUUCCGUGCCAGCAGCCGCGGUAAUACGGAAGGUCCGGGCGUUAUCCGGAUUUAUUGGGUUUAAAGGGAGCGUAGGCCGUCUCAAAAGCGUGUUGUGAAAUGUCCGGGCUCAACCGGGGCCGUGCAGCGCGAACUGUGAGACUUGAGUGUGCGGAAGGUAUGCGGAAUUCGUGGUGUAGCGGUGAAAUGCAUAGAUAUCACGAAGAACUCCGAUUGCGAAGGCAGCAUGCCGCAGCAUUACUGACGCUGAUGCUCGAAGGUGCGGGUAUCGAACAGGAUUAGAUACCCUGGUAGUCCGCACAGUAAACGAUGGAUGCCCGCUGUGAGCCUGUUUUAUGGUUUGCGGCCAAGCGAAAGCGUUAAGCAUCCCACCUGGGGAGUACGCCGGCAACGGUGAAACUCAAAGGAAUUGACGGGGGC
rnacentral:rRNA from 1 species